rnacentral:rRNA from 1 species
UACGGGGGGGGCAAGCGUUGUUCGGAAUUACUGGGCGUAAAGGGCUCGUAGGUGGCCAACUAAGUCGGACGUGAAAUCCCUCGGCUUAACCGGGGAACUGCGUCCGAUACUGGUUGGCUUGAGUUUGGGAGAGGGAUGCGGAAUUCCAGGUGUAGCGGUGAAAUGCGUAGAUAUCAGGAGGAACACCGGUGGCGAAGGCGGGUCUCUGGGCCGUAACUGACGCUGAGGAGCGAAAGCGUGGGGAGCGAACAGG